rnacentral:rRNA from 1 species
AACGUAGGACGCGAGCGUUAUCCGGAGUUACUGGGCGUAAAGCGCGGGCAGGCGGUCUGACAAGUCUGAUGUGAAAUCUCCGGGCUUAACCGGGAGAGGCCAUUGGAAACUGACAGGCUGGAGGGCAGUAGAGGUAGGCGGAAUUCCGGGUGGAGUGGUGAAAUGCGUAGAGAUCCGGAAGAACACCGGUGGCGAAGGCGGCCUGCUGGGCAGUGGCUGACACUGAGGCGCGACAGCGUGGGGAGCAAACAGG